rnacentral:rRNA from 1 species
CAGUGAAAUUGAACUCGCUGUGAAGAUGCAGUGUACCCGCGGCAAGACGGAAAGACCCCGUGAACCUUUACUAUAGCUUGACACUGAACAUUGAGCCUUGAUGUGUAGGAUAGGUGGGAGGCUUUGAAGUGUGGACGCCAGUCUGCAUGGAGCCGACCUUGAAAUACCACCCUUUAAUGUUUGAUGUUCUAACGUGGACCCGUUACCCGGGUUGCGGACAGUGUCUGGUGGGUAGUUUGACUGGGGCGGUCUCCUCCUAAAGAGUAACGGAGGAGCACGAAGGUUGGCUAAUCCUGGUCGGACAUCAGGAGGUUAGUGCAAUGGCAUAAGCCAGCUUGACUGCGAGCGUGACGGCGCGAGCAGGUGCGAAAGCAGGUCAUAGUGAUCCGGUGGUUCUGAAUGGAAGGGCCAUCGCUCAACGGAUAAAAGGUACUCCGGGGAUAACAGGCUGAUACCGCCCAAGAGUUCAUAUCGACGGCGGUGUUUGGCACCUCGAUGUCGGCUCAUCACAUCCUGGGGCUGAAGUAGGUCCCAAGGGUAUGGCUGUUCGCCAUUUAAAGUGGUACGCGAGCUGGGUUUAGAACGUCGUGAGACAGUUCGGUCCCUAUCUGCCGUGGGCGCUGGAGAACUGAGGGGGGCUGCUCCUAGUACGAGAGGACCGGAGUGGACGCAUCACUGGUGUUCGGGUUGUCAUGCCAAUGGCACUGCCCGGUAGCUAAAUGCGGAAGAGAUAAGUGCUGAAAGCAUCUAAGCACGAAACUUGCCCCGAGAUGAGUUCUCCCUGAGACUUAAAGUCUCCUGAAGGAACGUUGAAGACGACGACGUUGAUAGGCCGGGUGUGUAAGCGCAGCGAUGCGUUGAGCUA